rnacentral:tRNA from 1 species
UGGCUGAGCGGAAAAGCGCUUGGCUUCCGAACCAAGGGUGCCGGGUUCAAAUCCUGG